ACUUAAUCAGGUACUCUCUAAACUACCAUCUCAGGUACUAUGUAGACUACCGGCUCACGUACUCUGUAGACUACCGGCUCAUGUACUAUGUAGACUACCUGCUCAUGUACUAUGUAGACUGCUGGCUCAUGUACUAUGUAGACUACCUGGUUGGAUACUCUUUAGCAGAUAAAGAGACGGAUAUUUCCUUCAGGUGGUGUAGACCACCAGCUCAAACAGAAUAUUGUAUCUACACUCACAGGAACACAAAGACUCCUGAUGGAUCAUCAUCAUCUACCUGAUGGAGAAGGAAGAAGACAAUCGACUGAAAGCUCAUUGACUCCACAGUGAAGUGACUGUCGAUGUUUCACAAGAACAGAACUUUCUUUUGGGCUCUUGAGCGCCAAGGCGUGAUUGGAAUGCACUGCUGGCAGGGGAUUCUGGGUAACGUAGUACCAGCCGUGGGAUCUCUCCUGCACGUCGGUUGGCAGCCAACUGUUUGCUCGCUUUCUCUCCGUUUCCAUAAAUAAAAAAAUAGGAAUAUUCCAGAAGCCUCUGCGAUGAGGAGACUCUAACAGGAGGAGCAGUGAUAAAGAGGUCAGGCGGCGAGUAGACCAGAGGGGAAGUAAGGAGACAAGGAAUAAGUCAGGACCAACCGGCAAGGGGGGAAGAGAGGGAGGAAAACACUCACUUUUUCCAACCAACAACUCUUACGAAAUUAAGCUGGAAAUGUUGAGAGCUACUAAAUUCUUCUCAGUUUAAACACUGGCCCACUGAGAGGGAGAACUACUCAAGAUCUCCACUGGAGUAAAGAGGAGCAUCAGGAGGAGGGUGAAGGGGGGAAUCACUUAUUGAGACUGGACUACUUAGACUCUCGAUGCUUUCAGAUGAACCGCUGAAGACUGUUGGAAUGUAGCUGAGGGAGCUGACGAAUGGAAGCCGGUUUGGCGAGGAUAAGGACGAGAGUUCCUCUCCUUCAUUCCUGCUGAGGGGAUUUCUCUCUUCUAAGGAGUCAGCGAUGACAUCAUCGCCUCAGGAGGUAACCUCACCUUCUCCUGCCGGCACUCCUCCAGGGUGGCGUUGGUGGCGUCGAGGCGUCCCACCAGCCGCAGGAUCUCCGCACUCUGGUGGAGCUGCUCCUCCCUGGCCACCUCCAGCUUCUCCUCCAGAGCCACCUUGUUCUUGCUCCACACCACCUUGGGAAAGGAUGGAGACGACGGUGGAGGUCGACGAAGACGAGCGGUG
ensembl:lncRNA